rnacentral:rRNA from 1 species
AUGGAGAGUGUUGAAGUCACCGCUGCAAGUGGGAGCUCCGGGAGAGCUGGGAUCAUUGUAUGGACCAAUUCGAUGACGAAAACCAUGCUUGGUUUUUUGGCUGGUCUUGUUGCUGAUGGGAAGAGAACUUCAAGUGGAUUCAGGGAUGUGCAUCAUAGACAAUGUGCUGCUGUUUUGAACGAGCAAUUCAAGCUUUCUGUCACCGGAGAUCAAGUCAAAAACCAUCUCAAGAAGUGGAGGAAGAUAUGGGGAAGGGUAGCCAACUUGAAGAAUUUAAGUGGAGCUCUAUGGGAUGAAGACACUUGCACAAUUAGGCUCAGCGAGGAGCACUAUGCAGGGUUAAGAAAAAGGGAUAACUGA